rnacentral:rRNA from 1 species
UCUUUUUGAAAUAAUUUAAAGUNUNAUCUGCCCACUGAUAAAAAUUAAAGGGCUGCAGUAUAAUGACUGUACAAAGGUAGCAUAAUCAAUAGUUUUUUAAUUGAAAACUUGUAUGAAAGAUUUGAUGAAAUAUAGACUGUCUCUAAUUUAUAGAUUGAAUUUUAUUUUUUAGUAAAAAAGCUAAAAUAAAUUUAAAAGACGAGAAGACCCUAUAGAGUUUUAUAUUUAAUUUUAUUUAAAAAUUAUAUAAAAAUUAAUAUUAAAAAUAAAAUUAAAUAUUAUAUUGGGGUGAUAGAAAAAUUAAAUUAACUUUUUUUAAAAAUUAAACAUAAAUAAAUGAUUAUAUGAUCCAUAAAUAAUGAUUAUAAGAAAAAAUUACCUUAGGGAUAACAGCGUAAUAUUUUUUUUUAGUUCAAAUAAAAAAAAAAGUUUGCGACCUCGAUGUUGGAUUAAGAUAAAAUUUAAAUGCAAAAGUUUAAAAAUUUUGAUCUGUUCNAUCAUUAAAAUCUUAC